GAUGAACGCUGGCGGUAUGCUUAACACAUGCAAGUCGAACGGGGUGCAUAGUCACCUCGUGGCGGACGGGUGAGUAACGCGUGAGAAUCUGGCCUCAGGUCCGGGACAACCACGGGAAACGGUGGCUAAUACCGGAUGUGCCAUAUUGGUGAAAGAUUAAUUGCCUGAGGAUGAGCUCGCGUCUGAUUAGCUAGUUGGUGGGGUAAAGGCUUACCAAGGCGACGAUCAGUAACUGGUCUGAGAGGAUGACCAGUCACACUGGGACUGAGACACGGCCCAGACUCCUACGGGAGGCAGCAGUGGGGAAUUUUCCGCAAUGGGCGAAAGCCUGACGGAGCAAUACCGCGUGAGGGAGGAAGGCUCUUGGGUUGUAAACCUCUUUUCUCAGGGAAGAAGAAUGACGGUACCUGAGGAAUCAGCAUCGGCUAACUCCGUG
rnacentral:rRNA from 1 species